rnacentral:lncRNA from 1 species
CAAGAGAGGCCGUUUUGGGGCAAAAGAGGCUGUUUUAGGGCAAAAGAGGCAUUUUGGGGCACAGGAAGCCGUUUUUGGGACACAAUAGGCCACAUUUUGGGGCACGGGAAGGCAUUUUGGGGCGUGGGAGGCCCUUUUGGGACAAAGGAUGGGAUUUUGGGGCAAAAGAGGCUGUUUUGGGGUGUGGGAGGCCAUUUUGCGGGCCCGAGAGGCCAUUUUGGGCUGAAAAAGCCCAUUUUUGGCGCCGUUUCGGGGGUGCGCCGGCCCAAAACACCGUUACCAGACCUUCCAAAAUUCCCAUCACCCCUUCAACCCAAAUCAACCCCAAAUCAACCCAAAUGAACCCAAAAUCACCCCAAAUCAACCCAAAUCUCCCCAACCCAACCCAAAUCACCCCACAUUACUCCAAAUCACACCAAAUCUCCCCAAAUCACCCCAACUCAACCCAAAAUCAACCCAAAACAACCCAAAUAGACCCAAAUCAACCCAACUCACCCCAAAUCAACCCAAAAUCAACCCAACUCAACCCCAAAUCAACCCAACCCAACCCAAAAUCACCCCAAAUCACCCCAAAAUCAGCCCAAAUCAACUCAAAAUCAACCCAAAUCAACCCAAAUCACCUUGACUCACCCCAAAUCACACCAAAUCUCCCCAAAUCACCCCAAAUCACCCCAAAAUCAGC